GGCAGAACAAAAUCCCUAACUUCAGUUCCAUAUUUCUUCUCUCUUCGAGGGCAUCUUGCAGCACCAGUUGGAAGAAGAAGACACUAGCAGCUUUAACAUAUAUACUCCAAAAUCUUGGUGUUUCAACAGUAAAGUUCAUUUCUCAUUCAGGCAAAAUCCAGUGCAAAUAAUCCUGGCCAGUGGGCAAUUAAUCUUCCACGUGGUCAUUCAAAGAUCCAGGCUCCUUCCACCUGUGGCUCUGCCCUUCUCUAUGUCCCUGAAGAUGGGGAGAGAGGGUUUUAUAAGCCAGACCUAAUGAAUUUGUCUACAGGAUGCAAACACUGCCCGCCUUUGCCAGGGACCCGUGGGUCUGUAAUGCUCCUGAAAGUGCGUACUCCAUCAGACUGGAUCCCAGGGGAAGCCAAAGUGAUCAGACUGCCUGACAACUUUUGAUGGACAUGGAGCAGAAGCAAGAAAUAAAACUUUUUUGUCUUAAGACA